AGCAGCCGCGGUAAUUCCAGCUCCAAUAGCGUAUAUUAAAGUUGUUGCAGUUAAAAGCUCGUAGUUGAAUUUCGGGAUUGACACAUCGGUCGUGCCUUAAGGGGUAUGAACUGGUGUAGUCAAUUUCUCACCUUCUGGAGAACCGCAAUGCCCUUAAUUGGGUGUCGCGGGGAACCAGGACCUUUACUUUGAAAAAUUUAGAGUGUUUAAAGCAGGCAUUUGCUUGAAUACAUUAGCAUGGAAUAAUAAAAUAGGACGGCAUGAUUCUAUUUUGUUGGUUUCUAGGAUCACCGUAAUGAUUAAUAGGGAUAGUUGGGGGCAUUAGUAUUCAAUUGUCAGAGGUGAAAUUCUUGGAUUUAUUGAAGACUAACUACUGCGAAAGCAUUUGCCAAGGAUGUUUUCAUUAAUCAAGAACGAAAGUUAGGGGAUCGAAGACGAUCAGAUACCGUCGUAGUCUUAACCAUAAACUAUGCCGACUAGGAAUCAGACGAUGUUAAUUUUUUCAAUGACUCGUUUGGCA
rnacentral:rRNA from 1 species